AUGCUCUAUUGAGUAAAGAUUUAUCGCCUUAUGAUGAGCCUGCGUUAGAUUAGUUAGUUGGUAGGGUAACGGCCUACCAAGGCGACGAUCUAUAGCCGGGUUGAGAGACUGGCCGGCCACAUUGGGACUGAGACACGGCCCAGACUCCUACGGGAGGCAGCAGCUAAGAAUCUUCCGCAAUGGACGCAAGUCUGACGGAGCGACGCCGCGUGAACGAUGAAGGCCUUACAGGUUGUAAAGUUCUUUUAUAGAAGACGAAUGUUAUGCGUAGGCAUAACUGACGGUAUUCUAUGAAUAAGGUCCGGCUAACUACGUGCCAGCAGCCGCGGUAAUACGUAGGGACCGAGCGUUGUUCGGAAUUAUUGGGCGUAAAGGGUACGUAGGCGGUCUAAUAAGUCAGAUGUGAAACCCUCGGGCUCAUCCUGAGGCCUGCGUCUGAUACUGUUAGGCUAGAGUUACGGAGAGGAAGUCAGAAUUCCUGGUGUACGGGUGAAAUCUCUAGAUGUCAGGAAGAACAUCGGUUGCGAAGGCUGACUUCUGGACGUUAACUGACGCUGAGGUACGACAGUUCGGGUAGCGAACAGGAUUAGAGACCCUGGUAGUCCUAACCUGUAAACGUUGUAUACUAUGCUGGUGGCGUGUUGAUCGCGUCACUGCCGGAUCUGACGCAUUAAGUAUACCGCCUGGGGAGUAUGCCGGCAACGGUGAAACCCAAAGGAAUUGACGGGGGCCCGCACAAGCAGUGGAGCAUGUUGUUUAAUUCGAUGAUACGCGAGGAACCUUACCAGGUCUUGACAUAUACCUGAAUGUUGUAGAGAUACAUCAGUCUUUCGGGACAGGUAUACAGGUGCUGCAUGGUUGUCGUCAGCUCGUGCCGUGAGGUGUUGGGUUAAGUCCCGCAACGAGCGCAACCCUUAUUCUUUGUUGCUAACGUGUUAUGGCGAGCACUCUAAGGAGACUGCCGGUGACAAACCGGAGGAAGGUGGGGAUGACGUCAAAUCAUCACGGCCCUUAUGACCUGGGCUACAAACGUGCUACAAUGGGCGGCACAAAGAGUUGCGAUACCGCGAGGGUGAGCUAAUCUCAAAAAACCGUCCUCAGUUCGGAUUGGAGUCUGAAACUCGACUCCAUGAAGCUGGAAUUGCUAGUAAUCGCAUAUCAGCAAUGAUGCGGUGA
rnacentral:rRNA from 1 species